CGGCGGAGCAUGCGGAUUAAUUCGAUGCAACGCGAAGAACCUACCAAGGCUUGACAUAUAGAGGAAACGUCUGGAAACAGUCGCCCCGCAAGGUCUCUAUACAGGUGGUGCAUGGCUGUCGUCAGCUCGUGUCGUGAGAUGUUGGGUUAAGUCCCGCAACGAGCGCAACCCUCGUUCUAUGUUGCCAGCACGUAAUGGUGGGAACUCAUGGGAUACUGCCGGGGUCAACUCGGAGGAAGGUGGGGAUGACGUCAAAUCAUCAUGCCCCUUAUGUCUUGGGCUUCACGCAUGCUACAAUGGCCGGUACAAAGGGCUGCAAUACCGUAAGGUGGAGCGAAUCCCAAAAAGCCGGUCCCAGUUCGGAUUGAGGUCUGCAACUCGACCUCAUGAAGUCGGAGUCGCUAGUAAUCGCAGAUCAGCAACGCUGCGGUGAAUACGUUCCCGGGUCUU
rnacentral:rRNA from 1 species